UACGAAGGGGGCUAGCGUUGCUCGGAAUUACUGGGCGUAAAGGGCUCGUAGGUGGCCAACUAAGUCGGACGUGAAAUCCCUCGGCUUAACCGGGGAACUGCGUCUGAUACUGGAUGGCUUGAGUUCGGGAGAGGGAUGCGGAAUUCCAGGUGUAGCGGUGAAAUGCGUAGAUAUCUGGAGGAACACCGGUGGCGAAGGCGGCAUCCUGGACCGACACUGACACUGAGGAGCGAAAGCCAGGGGAGCAAACGGG
rnacentral:rRNA from 1 species